CAGCAGCCACGGUAAUGCGAAGGGUGCAAGCGUUAAUCGGAAUUACUGGGCGUAAAGCGUGCGUAGGCGGUGAGUUAAGUCUGCUGUGAAAUCCCCGGGCUCAACCUGGGAAUGGCAGUGGAUACUGGCUCGCUAGAGUGUGUCAGAGGAUGGUGGAAUUCCCGGUGUAGCGGUGAAAUGCGUAGAGAUCGGGAGGAACAUCAGUGGCGAAGGCGGCCAUCUGGGACAACACUGACGCUGAGGCACGAAAGCGUGGGGAGCAAACAGGAUUAGAUACCCGCGUAGUCCCUGUCUCUUAUAC
rnacentral:rRNA from 1 species